UACGAAGGGGGCGAGCGUUGUUCGGAAUCACUGGGCGUAAAGCGUGCGUAGGCGGCGAUGAAAGUUAGGAGUGAAAGCCCCAGGCUCAACUUGGGAAUUGCUUUUAAAACUACAUCGCUUGAAUUCGGGAGAGGAUAGCGGAAUUGUCAGUGUAGCAGUGAAAUGCGUAGAUAUUGACAGGAACACCGGUGGCGUAAGCGGCUAUCUGGACCGACAUUGACGCUGAGGCACGAAAGCGUGGGGAUCAAACAGG
rnacentral:rRNA from 1 species